CUUCAGCGACCCCAGCCACAGCGGACGAUCCGCCGGCCGAUCCUGUCCGUAGGUAGCCAGCAGGGCCUGGGCCUC
rnacentral:antisense_RNA from 1 species